UACAGAGGGGGCAAGCGUUGUUCGGAAUUACUGGGCGUAAAGGGCGCGUAGGCGGCCUGUUAAGUCGAACGUGAAAUCCCCGGGCUCAACCCGGGAACUGCGUCCGAUACUGGCAGGCUUGAAUCCGGGAGAGGGAUGCGGAAUUCCAGGUGUAGCGGUGAAAUGCGUAGAUAUCCGGAGGAACACCGGUGGCGAAGGCGGGUCUCUGGGCAGUAACUGACGCUGAGGAGCGAAAGCGUGGGGAGCGAACAGG
rnacentral:rRNA from 1 species